CAAUUGAAGAGUUUGAUCCUGGCUCAGAUUGAACGCUGGCGGCAUGGCUAAAACAUGCAAGUCGAACGACACAGUGGCGAAAGGGCGAGUAAUGCGAUCGAACGUACCCCGAGGUGGGGGAUAGCCUCUGGAAACGGAGGGUAAUACCCCAUGUCCUCUCAGGAGAAAAGCUCCGGCGCCUUGGGAGCGGCGAUCGUCCUAUCAGGUAGUUGGUGAGGUAACGGCUCACCAAGCCGAAGACGGGUAGCGGGUGUGAGAGCAUGACCCGCCGCAUCGGGACUGAGACACUGCCCGGACUCCUACGGGAGGCUGCAGUAACGAAUCUUCCGCAAUGGGCG
rnacentral:rRNA from 1 species